rnacentral:rRNA from 1 species
AACACAUGCAGUCGAACGGUAACAUUUCUAGCUUGCUAGAAGAUGACGAGUGGCGGACGGGUGAGUAAUGCUUGGGAACUUGCCUUUGCGAGGGGGAUAACAGUUGGAAACGACUGCUAAUACCGCAUAAUGUCUUCGGACCAAACGGGGCUUCGGCUCCGGCGCAAAGAGAGGCCCAAGUGAGAUUAGCUAGUUGGUAAGGUAACGGCUUACCAAGGCGACGAUCUCUAGCUGUUCUGAGAGGAAGAUCAGCCACACUGGGACUGAGACACGGCCCAGACUCCUACGGGGGGCAGCAGUGGGGAAUAUUGCACAAUGGGGGAAACCCUGAUGCAGCCAUGCCGCGUGUGUGAAGAAGGCCUUCGGGUUGUAAAGCACUUUCAGUUGUGAGGAAAAGUUAGUAGUUAAUACCUGCUAGCCGUGACGUUNACAACAGAAGAAGCACCGGCUAACUCCGUGCCAGCAGCCGCGGU